UCCAGACUCCUACGGGAGGCAGCAGUGGGGAAUAUUGCACAAUGGGGGGAACCCUGAUCCAGCGACGCCGCGUGAGUGAAGAAGUAUUUCGGUAUGUAAAGCUCUAUCAGCAGGAAAGAAAAUGACGGUACCUGACUAAGAAGCCCCGGCUAACUACGUGCCAGCAGCCGCGGUAAUACGUAGGGGGCAAGCGUUAUCCGGAUUUACUGGGUGUAAAGGGAGCGUAGACGGUGAAGCAAGUCUGAAGUGAAAGGCGGGGGCUCAACCCCCGGACUGCUUUGGAAACUGUUUGACUGGAGUGCAGGAGAGGUAAGUGGAAUUCCUAGUGUAGCGGUGAAAUGCGUAGAUAUUAGGAGGAACACCAGUGGCGAAGGCGGCUUACUGGACUGUAACUGACGUUGAGGCUCGAAAGCGUGGGGAGCAAACAGGAUUAGAUACCCCGGUAAG
rnacentral:rRNA from 1 species